CCACCUUAAAUAACUCCUGCCGAGCAGAGAUCAAGUGUCCAUUGGCCACAGAUUCCAUUAUAUGCAAUGUGUGUUUGUGGAGACGGUGCCAAGGUGUACCCACCAACAUUUGGGAUGCAAGUGACCAAAGCCCAAGAUGUGGGAGCUGAGCAUAAAGAAGUUAUUUCGUCUGAGUGCCCAAAGCUAAUAGCGAAAUCAAGGAUUAAAAAAAAAGAAGAAAAGAAAAGGCGUCUCAUAGGCUUUGGUGUGACAAGAAAUGGACUUUCAGCUGCUGCUGGAGCAAGAGUCCACAGCCAUGUUUCAGCUACAUAUCACCUUGCCCUGCUGGAUCAUUUCUCCCUUGAACCCUGUCAUU